UACGGGGGGGGCAAGCGUUUGUUCGGAAUUACUGGGCGUAAAGGGCUCGUAGGCGGCCAACUAAGUCAGACGUGAAAUCCCUCGGCUUAACCGGGGAACUGCGUCUGAUACUGGAUGGCUUGAGUUUGGGAGAGGGAUGCGGAAUUCCAGGUGUAGCGGUGAAAUGCGUAGAUAUCGAGAGGAACACCUGAGGUGAAGACGGGGUUGCUGGGCCGACACUGACGCUGAAGCGCGAAAGCCAGGGGAGCAAACGGG
rnacentral:rRNA from 1 species